rnacentral:rRNA from 1 species
UCGCCUGUUUUAUCAAAAACAUCGCCUCCUGCAACACAACCAAGUAUAGGAGGUCCAGCCUGCCCAGUGACUACAAGUUUAACGGCCGCGGUAUUUUGACCGUGCAAAGGUAGCGCAAUCACUUGUCUUUUAAAUAGAGACCUGUAUGAAUGGCUAAACGAGGGCUUAACUGUCUCCCCUUUCUAGUCAGUGAAAUUGAUCUACCCGUGCAGAAGCGGGUAUAACAAUACAAGACGAGAAGACCCUUUGGAGCUUAAGGUACAAAACUCAACCACGUAAAGCAACUCAAUAAAAAGUAAAAACUUUGUGGAAAAUGAAAUUUUACCUUCGGUUGGGGCGACCACGGAGGAAAAUAAAGCCUCCAAGUGGACUGGGACAAACCUCCUAAAACCAAGAGAGACAUCUCUAAGCCACAGAACAUCUGACCAAAUAUGAUCCGGCUGACAAAGCCGAUCAACGAACCAAGUUACCCUAGGGAUAACAGCGCAAUCCUCUCCCAGAGUCCAUAUCGACGAGAGGGUUUACGACCUCGAUGUUGGAUCAGGACAUCCUAAUGGUGCAGCCGCUAUUAAGGGUUCGUUUGUUCAACGAUUAAAGUCCUACGUGAUCUGAGUUCAGACCGGA